GUGAGGUAAUGGCUUACCAAGGCGACGACGGGUAGCCGGCCUGAGAGGGUGACCGGCCACACUGGGACUGAGACACGGCCCAGACUCCUGCGGGAGGCAGCAGUGGGGAAUAUUGCACAAUGGGCGCAAGCCCGAUGCAGCGACGCCGCGUGAGGGAUGAAGGCCUUCGGGUUGUAAACCUCUUUCAGUAGGGAAGAAGCGAAAGUGACGGUACCUGCAGAAGAAGCGCCGGCUAACUACGUGCCAGCAGCCGCGGUAAUACGUAGGGCGCAAGCGUUAUCCGGAAUUAUUGGGCGUAAAGAGCUCGUAGGCGGUUUGUCGCGUCUGCUGUGAAAACCCGGGGCUCAACCUCGGGCCUGCAGUGGGUACGGGCAGACUAGAGUGCGGUAGGGGAGACUGGAAUUCCUGGUGUAGCGGUGGAAUGCGCAGAUAUCAGGAGGAACACCGAUGGCGAAGGCAGGUCUCUGGGCCGCAACUGACGCUGAGGAGCGAAAGCAUGGGGAGCGAACAGGAUUAGAUACCCUGGUAGUCCAUGCCGUAAACGUUGGGCACUAGGUGUGGGGCUCAUUCCACGAGUUCCGUGCCGCAGCAAACGCAUUAAGUG
rnacentral:rRNA from 1 species